rnacentral:tRNA from 1 species
GAGGGUAUGCUGAGUGGUAAAGCACGCGCCUAGCAUGUACAAGGUCCUGGGUUCAGUCCCCAGUGCCUCCA